rnacentral:rRNA from 1 species
UUAAGCGACUAAGCGUACACGGUGGAUGCCCUGGCAGUCAGAGGCGAUGAAGGACGUGCUAAUCUGCGAUAAGCGUCGGUGAGGUGAUAUGAACCGUUAUAACCGGCGAUUUCCGAAUGGGGAAACCCAGUGUGUUUCGACACACUAUCAUUAACUGAAUCCAUAGGUUAAUGAGGCGAACCGGGGGAACUGAAACAUCUAAGUACCCCGAGGAAAAGAAAUCAACCGAGAUUCCCCCAGUAGCGGCGAGCGAACGGGGAGGAGCCCAGAGCCUGAAUCAGUGUGUGUGUUAGUGGAAGCGUCUGGAAAGGCGUGCGAUACAGGGUGACAGCCCCGUACACAAAAAUGCACAUACUGUGAGCUCGAUGAGUAGGGCGGGACACGUGGUAUCCUGUCUGAAUAUGGGGGGACCAUCCUCCAAGGCUAAAUACUCCUGACUGACCGAUAGUGAACCAGUACCGUGAGGGAAAGGCGAAAAGAACCCCGGCGAGGGGAGUGAAAAAGAACCUGAAACCGUGUACGUACAAGCAGUGGGAGCCUCUUUAUGGGGUGACUGCGUACCUUUUGUAUAAUGGGUCAGCGACUUAUAUUCUGUAGCAAGGUUAACCGAAUAGGGGAGCCGAAGGGAAACCGAGUCUUAACUGGGCGUUAAGUUGCAGGGUAUAGACCCGAAACCCGGUGAUCUAGCCAUGGGCAGGUUGAAGGUUGGGUAACACUAACUGGAGGACCGAACCGACUAAUGUUGAAAAAUUAGCGGAUGACUUGUGGCUGGGGGUGAAAGGCCAAUCAAACCGGGAGAUAGCUGGUUCUCCCCGAAAGCUAUUUAGGUAGCGCCUCGUGAAUUCAUCUCCGGGGGUAGAGCACUGUUUCGGCAAGGGGGUCAUCCCGACUUACCAACCCGAUGCAAACUGCGAAUACCGGAGAAUGUUAUCACGGGAGACACACGGCGGGUGCUAACGUCCGUCGUGAAGAGGGAAACAACCCAGACCGCCAGCUAAGGUCCCAAAGUCAUGGUUAAGUGGGAAACGAUGUGGGAAGGCCCAGACAGCCAGGAUGUUGGCUUAGAAGCAGCCAUCAUUUAAAGAAAGCGUAAUAGCUCACUGGUCGAGUCGGCCUGCGCGGAAGAUGUAACGGGGCUAAACCAUGCACCGAAGCUGCGGCAGCGACGCUUAUGCGUUGUUGGGUAGGGGAGCGUUCUGUAAGCCUGUGAAGGUGUGCUGUGAGGCAUGCUGGAGGUAUCAGAAGUGCGAAUGCUGACAUAAGUAACGAUAAAGCGGGUGAAAAGCCCGCUCGCCGGAAGACCAAGGGUUCCUGUCCAACGUUAAUCGGGGCAGGGUGAGUCGACCCCUAAGGCGAGGCCGAAAGGCGUAGUCGAUGGGAAACAGGUUAAUAUUCCUGUACUUGGUGUUACUGCGAAGGGGGGACGGAGAAGGCUAUGUUGGCCGGGCGACGGUUGUCCCGGUUUAAGCGUGUAGGCUGGUUUUCCAGGCAAAUCCGGAAAACCAAGGCUGAGGCGUGAUGACGAGGCACUACGGUGCUGAAGCGACAAAUGCCCUGCUUCCAGGAAAAGCCUCUAAGCAUCAGGUAACAUCAAAUCGUACCCCAAACCGACACAGGUGGUCAGGUAGAGAAUACCAAGGCGCUUGAGAGAACUCGGGUGAAGGAACUAGGCAAAAUGGUGCCGUAACUUCGGGAGAAGGCACGCUGAUAUGUAGGUGAAGCGACUUGCUCGUGGAGCUGAAAUCAGUCGAAGAUACCAGCUGGCUGCAACUGUUUAUUAAAAACACAGCACUGUGCAAACACGAAAGUGGACGUAUACGGUGUGACGCCUGCCCGGUGCCGGAAGGUUAAUUGAUGGGGUUAGCGGCAACGCGAAGCUCUUGAUCGAAGCCCCGGUAAACGGCGGCCGUAACUAUAACGGUCCUAAGGUAGCGAAAUUCCUUGUCGGGUAAGUUCCGACCUGCACGAAUGGCGUAAUGAUGGCCAGGCUGUCUCCACCCGAGACUCAGUGAAAUUGAACUCGCUGUGAAGAUGCAGUGUACCCGCGGCAAGACGGAAAGACCCCGUGAACCUUUACUAUAGCUUGACACUGAACAUUGAGCCUUGAUGUGUAGGAUAGGUGGGAGGCUUUGAAGUGUGGACGCCAGUCUGCAUGGAGCCGACCUUGAAAUACCACCCUUUAAUGUUUGAUGUUCUAACGUUGGCCCGUAAUCCGGGUUGCGGACAGUGUCUGGUGGGUAGUUUGACUGGGGCGGUCUCCUCCUAAAGAGUAACGGAGGAGCACGAAGGUUGGCUAAUCCUGGUCGGACAUCAGGAGGUUAGUGCAAUGGCAUAAGCCAGCUUGACUGCGAGCGUGACGGCGCGAGCAGGUGCGAAAGCAGGUCAUAGUGAUCCGGUGGUUCUGAAUGGAAGGGCCAUCGCUCAACGGAUAAAAGGUACUCCGGGGAUAACAGGCUGAUACCGCCCAAGAGUUCAUAUCGACGGCGGUGUUUGGCACCUCGAUGUCGGCUCAUCACAUCCUGGGGCUGAAGUAGGUCCCAAGGGUAUGGCUGUUCGCCAUUUAAAGUGGUACGCGAGCUGGGUUUAGAACGUCGUGAGACAGUUCGGUCCCUAUCUGCCGUGGGCGCUGGAGAACUGAGGGGGGCUGCUCCUAGUACGAGAGGACCGGAGUGGACGCAUCACUGGUGUUCGGGUUGUCAUGCCAAUGGCACUGCCCGGUAGCUAAAUGCGGAAGAGAUAAGUGCUGAAAGCAUCUAAGCACGAAACUUGCCCCGAGAUGAGUUCUCCCUGACUCCUUGAGAGUCCUGAAGGAACGUUGAAGACGACGACGUUGAUAGGCCGGGUGUGUAAGCGCAGCGAUGCGUUGAGCUAACCGGUACUAAUGAACCGUGAGGCUUAACCUU